rnacentral:rRNA from 1 species
UACGUAGGGCGCAAGCGUUGUCCGGAAUUAUUGGGCGUAAAGAGCUCGUAGGCUGCUUGUCGCGUCGGUUGUGAAAGCCCGGGGCUUAACCCCGGGUCUGCAGUCGAUACGGGCAGGCUAGAGUUCGGUAGGGGAGAUCGGAAUUCCUGGUGUAGCGGUGAAAUGCGCAGAUAUCAGGAGGAACACCCGUGGCGAAAGCGGCUCUCUGGGACGGUACUGACGCUGAGACGCGAAAGCGUGGGGAGCAAACAGG